UACGUAGGGGGCAAGCGUUGUCCGGAAUCAUUGGGCGUAAAGAGCGUGUAGGCGGCCCGGUAAGUCCGCUGUGAAAGUCCAGGGCUCAACCCUGGGAUGCCGGUGGAUACUGUCGGGCUAGAGUCCGGAAGAGGCGAGUGGAAUUCCUGGUGUAGCGGUGGAAUGCGCAGAUAUCAGAAGGAACACCGAUGGCGAAGGCAGCUCGCUGGGACGGUACUGACGCUGAGGCGCGAAAGCGUGGGGAGCGAACAGG
rnacentral:rRNA from 1 species